rnacentral:rRNA from 1 species
GAUGAACGCUGGCGGCGUGCCUAAUACAUGCAAGUCGAGCGAACAGACGCGGCGCUUGCUUCUCUGACGUUAGCGGCGGACGGGAGAGUAACACGUGGAUAACCUACCUAUAAGACUGGGAUAACUUCGGGAAACCGGAGCUAAUACCGGAUAAUAUAUUGAACCGCAUGGUUCAAUAGUGAAAGACGGUUUUGCUGUCACUUAUAGAUGGAUCCGCGCCGCAUUAGGUAGUUGGUAAGGUAACGGCUUACCAAGGCAACGAUGCGUAGCCGACCUGAGAGGGUGACCAGCCACACUGGAACGGAGACACGGCCCAGACUCCUACGGGAGGCAGCAGUGGGGAAUCUUCGGCAAAGGGCGAAAGCCUGACGGAGCAACGCCGCGUGAAUGAUGAAGGUCUUCGGAUCGUAAACUGCUGUUAUUAGGAAAGAACAAAUGUGGAAGUAACUAUGCACGUCUUGACGGUACCUAAUCAGAAAGCCACGGCUAACUACGUG